AGAGUUUGAUCCUGGCUCAGGAUGAACGCUGGCGGCGUGCCUAACACAUGCAAGUCGAACGAAGCAAUUAGGAGGAAGUUUUCGGAUGGAAUCCUGAUUGACUGAGUGGCGGACGGGUGAGUAACGCGUGGGUAACCUGCCUCAUACAGGGGGAUAACAGUUAGAAAUGACUGCUAAUACCGCAUAAGCGCACAGAGCUGCAUGGCUCAGUGUGAAAAACUCCGGUGGUAUGAGAUGGACCCGCGUUGGAUUAGCUGGUUGGCAGGGCAGCGGCCUACCAAGGCGACGAUCCAUAGCCGGCCUGAGAGGGUGAACGGCCACAUUGGGACUGAGACACGGCCCAGACUCCUACGGGAGGCAGCAGUGGGGAAUAUUGCACAAUGGGGGGAACCCUGAUGCAGCGACGCCGCGUGAAGGAAGAAGUAUCUCGGUAUGUAAACUUCUAUCAGCAGGGAAGAAAAUGACGGUACCUGACUAAGAAGCCCCGGCUAACUACGUGCCAGCAGCCGCGGUAAUACGUAGGGGGCAAGCGUUAUCCGGAUUUACUGGGUGUAAAGGGAGCGUAGACGGAAGAGCAAGUCUGAUGUGAAAGGCAGGGGCCCAACCCCUGGACUGCAUUGGAAACUGUCCUUCUUGAGUGCCGGAGGGGUAAGCGGAAUUCCUAGUGUAGCGGUGAAAUGCGUAGAUAUUAGGAGGAACACCAGUGGCGAAGGCGGCUUACUGGACGGUAACUGACGUUGAGGCUCGAAAGCGUGGGGAGCAAAACAGGAUUAGAUACCCUGGUAGUCCACGCGGUAAACGAUGAAUACUAGGGGUCGGGGAGCAUAGCUCUUCGGUGCCGCCGCAAACGCAUUUAAGUAUUCCACCUGGGGAGUACGUUCGCAAGAAUGAAACUCAAAGGAAUUGACGGGGACCCGCACAAGCGGUGGAGCAUGUGGUUUAAUCCGAAGCAACGCGAAGAACCUUACCAAGUCUUGACAUCCCUGUGACCGGCCUUUAACCGGGCCUUCCCUUCGGGGCACAGGAGACAGGUGGUGCAUGGUUGUCGUCAGCUCGUGUCGUGAGAUGUUGGGUUAAGUCCCGCAACGAGCGCAACCCUUAUCCUUAGUAGCCAGCACGCAGUGGUGGGCACUCUGGGGAGACUGCCAGGGAUAACCUGGAGGAAGGUGGGGAUGACGUCAAAAUCAUCAUGCCCCUUAUGAUUUGGGCUACACACGUGCUACAAUGGCGUAAACAAAGGGAAGCAAGAGGGUGACCUUUAGCAAAUCCCAAAAAUAACGUCCCAGUUCGGACUGUAGUCUGCAACCCGACUACACGAAGCUGGAAUCGCUAGUAAUCGCGGAUCAGAAUGUCGCGGUGAAUACGUUCCCGGGUCUUGCACACACCGCCCGUCA
rnacentral:rRNA from 1 species